rnacentral:tRNA from 1 species
GGCGCCGUAGCCAAGUGGACUAAGGCAGCGGAUUGCAAAUCCGCCAUCCCGGGUUCGAAUCCCGGCGGCGCCUC